GUGCCUGCAGCCCGCCGGCCCCGCCCCCGCUGCCUGCUUCCGCCGCUUUAGUGCACGCUCGGGCUUCCUGGUGCGCCCGGAGCCUGCCUCGCGUGCCGACCCCGCCGCGUAAUCCGGCGAGGCAUCCCAGAUUCCGCCCGGCUCCAGACGCCCUCCACCGACUUUAGUUCGAGCAGACUCAUUUGGAAGCAGUGCAUUUUUAUCAGAGGGACUGAAAAGCCUUUCGAGAAUCAGUCAAGAAAAAGGAAUGCGCAUGAGAGUCAUGGUCACAUCAUGUGAUUGUAGGGAAAGCCUAGGCUAUCAUGGAGGGAAGAGAUUGGAUAAAUUAUUUGAAAAGCAAGCCUGUGAAUUGCUGUGGAGGAACAAUAGCCUGUCUCUUAUCUGGAGCCUUUCCAAGGAAAAGCAAAGGGGACCCUAGAAGGCUUCCUGGGAGACAGUUUAAUUCUGAAAACAAAGCAGUACUUCACCUCUUGUGUGUUGGGUAGAGCUGUAAAACAGAACACAGUCAAAAUAGUCAUUAGGGCCACAUCAAUGUCUGCCCAAAGUCAGGCGAGCAUUCCCAGGAAGGUGGGGGGCUGUGGCAGUUGCACACAUCAACCUCCUUUCUCCAUUGUCACACAGCAGAAGAGCGUGUUCCAUUCUACUAAAGUUGGGGCGGGGGGAGUUGAAUAAUUUAUUGACUGAAAACUGGGGGCCUGAGUUAGAUGGUAAAAAAGUUUAGAGUGCUGUUUUUUGUUUUUUAAGUUAUGUUUGUUUUAUAUAUUGAAGUGCUUAAAAUGUAUUUUAAAAAUUCAAAACAUCCCAGAAAUUCAGCAACUUGAGGAGACAAUAGUGACGAACAUUUUAUGGCAACAUUUGGACACUUUAAAGAUUAUUUCAGGAACUUUAAUGCUGAUAAAUGAGAGAAGGGACAACUUUUCCUAACUAUAACAUUUCGGCACCUGAGUACAGGGAUCAAAACAAGAGCAAGCAUUUCAAAUUCAUAUUGUGAAGCACCUACAAAAAGAUUAUUCUGUUAGCCUUCAUAAUGUGGAGAGUUCAUCUUUUCAUCUUAUCAAAUAAAAAUAUACCCAAAUUCUUGAACAGGCAUUCAGUUAGGAAAAGAGGGUGGGGUGAUGAAAUGUGUUCUCAUUCAGCAAACACUUUGCAGAUAUUUCUAGUCAAAGAUCCCUGUGGUCUAGGCUAGUGAGAGAAAAACGUGCCCUCUGCCCAGUGACAGCGGCUGCACGGGGAUCAGCUUUCACCAAUGCAGGCAGGGGAACAAAGGGCAGGCUUCAUCUGCCUGCAUCCCACAGGCCCUUGCGCAGGGGAGUUCCAUUUCAGUGCCCAUCACAUGACCUCUCAGGCCAAAACGGUUUUUAAUAAUUCUGAUUUUGAAUAUCAAAUGGAAGUGAAAAGUACAUUUAGGAAGGAAGGGCUCUAUCCUUAUUGAAGAACAUGCUCUAUGCAAACAGGUUGGACAGGCACUAGCUCUUGUAGAGCUAUGGUUCUCAGCUUUGGCAACACACUGGAUCACCUCCUCUAAAAGGUACUGAUGCCUGCUUUCCUCCCUCUUCUGCCCCUAAAGAAAGUAGAAUUUAAUUUUAAGCUCUAGGGUGUGGCCUGGGCAUCAGGACUUUUUUUUUUUUUUUGACAGAGUCUCACUGUGUCACCUAGGCUAGAGUGCAGUGUGCAGUCUUGGCUCACUGCAGCCUCAAUCUCCCAGAUUCAAGAGAUCCUCCUGCCUCAGCCCCCUAAGUAACUAGGAUUACAGGCACGCACCACCACACCAGGCUAAUUUUUGUAUUUUUUGUGGAGACGGUCUUUCACUGUGUUGCCCAAGCUGGUCUUGAACUCCUGAGCUCAGGUGAUCCACCUGCCUCAGCCUCCCAAAGUGCUGGGAUUACAGGCAUAAGCCACAGCCCCUGGCCGGCAUCAGGAUUUUUAAAAGCUCCCAAGUGCAGUCAAGGUUGAGAACAGCUGCUAUAGUGUGACUUAAUACAGCAUUCAAAGCCUCUCAUAAUCUAGCCUCAGCCUAAUUUUUCCUUCCAGCACCCCAUCUCAGCCUGUACAUAAGCCACAGAGACAUUCUCACUGUUCUCUGAAUGUACUUGGCUCAUUCAUAUUUCCAGGCUUUCUUGCACACACAUUGUCUGACUCUGGGCACCUAAGGAAAGCUCAGCUCCAAUGUCCUCUCCUCUUCCGUGAAACCUUUCCUGUCAAGCCCACCUUCACUACUAAGUCACUCCUUGCUCCUAGAUCAGAUGGAAGAAUGCUUUGGCAUAUCUCUACUGGAGCCCUUCUCACUUUACAUUAAAGAUAACUGUAUAUAGGUUAGCCCACUCCUCCUCCCUAAUAGCAUGUGGACCCUUUGUAGUUUCAGCAGUAAGCACAGGGCUUGGUUUCUAUGAAUACUUAUUGAGUGAAUGGAUGAAUGAAUGCCAAUCUUGUACAUUGUUGAUGUUCACCACAUUGAACCCAGUUCUCAAACCAGGAUCACUUGGGAGAUUCUGAGUCAAUAAUUUGAAGGUCUGUAUCAUUCCUACUCAAAGUGUGGUCCAUAAGCCAGCAGUGGCUAUAUUAUCUGGGAGCUUGUUGCAAAUGCAGAAUAUGUAUUUUAACAAGAUCCCCAGGCAAUUCAUAUGCACAUUACACUUUGAGCUAUAUUUUUAACAAGCUCCCAGGUGAUUCCUUUGUAGCCCGGCUGCUGACCUGCAUUUCGUAACCACUGUUCUAGACCUUCAUUUGCUGAAUGGAGUGGUCCCUGUGUGAUUGCCUACAGGUUUCUUCUAGUCUCCCAUUUUUCUUCCUAGUUAACAAAGCCCAAAUUUUGUUUGGAAGGGUGAUCAGCCCUUCACCCAUCAGGCCUUUGCCUCAGGGAAGCUUGACCCCACCUUUAGACCCCAUGUUGGGCCUGAGUAGUCCAAAGGCAUAUCCCAUUCCCCUGGCCAGGGAUUAGUUUAGGGAUAGACAUGUGACCAAAUUCAGCUCAAUAAAAUGUGAGUCUGCAGGGGCAAUCUAGAAAAAGUGUCCUCUUCCCUAAGAGAAAGCCACAGGAGGGUAAAAAAAUGUCUCAGAACAUUGUCCUGCCUAAACAUGAUGCCUCGGACAUUCUGCUUCUGUCUUGCUACCUGCAGCACAAGGAAAUCCAACACUGAGGGGUCACAGCAGAGGGACGGAAAGCACCUGGAUCUUACAACAUUGUUGAGCUCUUUUGUCUCUUGACUUCUAGUUAUGAGAUGUAAUUUUCUUACUGUUAAAGUCAUUUCUGUUCCUUGCAACCAAAAGCAUUCAUUGAUACACUGAAUAUAGUACAAUAUUUAUUCAAUCAAUAAAUGCCUGGCAAAUUACCCAAGUA
rnacentral:lncRNA from 1 species